AAAUUUUCUCCAAAGAGAUCAGUUUCAGAAAAAAUUCGAGACAUUCUUCUUAUUUUACCUUCGUGUUUUUCUUUCUUUUAUGUUUCAAUUCAAAGAUUCGAGAUCUUCUUCUGCAGAUUUCAUUGAGAGAGUAAUUUUUAGGUUCAAAAUUGAUUGAAUAAGUGAAGAGAAACUACAAAUUUAGUUAAACAAGAGAAGAGAAUAUCUGGUAAUUCAUUUCAGUUUAAUUGAAGAAGAGAAAUCAGGAGUUACGGUUUAUUCGUGAUUUGGUUGAAAUUUGUAUCUAGGCUCGAUUUAUCUGUUAAAAUUACAUCUCGAAUUGAAAAUCGAGGUGAAGAAUCCUUCGUGUUGAUCAUCUUCAGAUUAAGUAAUUCGUAGUAUUCGAAUCAUUCAUCACAUACUCAAUCACUUUUCAGAUUAUGAAGCCUGUUUCGGCGGUUAUAUGUCACAAAGAGGAUACAUUGUUUUAUCGUAUUGGUCUAAAAGAAUCUGUUGCUAAUAUGAAGGCAAGUAUAUGUUCAAGUUGGUGUGAAUUCUCUCCUCUUUCUAUGGAAAUCUUUCACAUAGUUGGUGAUCAGCUAAAGGUAAACCAAUCUGAUUUUGAUCUUCAAUCAGCUGCUUUAUUUACUUUGUUUCAUAACCUUCCAACUCUUCAGUUGCAUGUAAGGCAUAAAUCCGAGCGUUCUAGUUCAAAAAGUUCAAGGAUUAUAGAUAUUGACCAGCCACGAAGUUCUGAAAUUAUAUUUUUUGAGAAACCAAGAGUUGAUUAUGAUGUUACAAAUAAAGUGAAGGAACCGUAAAGUCUGCGCAUUGGUUAGGCCUUUUUAAGGGUGUUGAAUAAUUAUUUCCAGGAGUUGUUCAACAAGUUCGUUGUGAUAUAAUGAAAUAUCACGUGACAUCAGGUUAUUCAUUCAAAAUGACAAGGAAUGAAAAGUUGAGGAUCGAUCGGUGCAUGUUGUGCUAAGAAAGAUGAGGAGAAAUGUAAAUGGCAUUUAUAUGCCGUGUCUAUUGAUAGUUUUGAAGGAAUCCCUUUUAUUAUCUAAGGAAUCAAGUAAUUAGCAUACCCGUAGUGGUGGAUUUCUUAACAAACCACAUGUAUGGAAGAAACUAAUUAGUGACUUGAUAUCAUUAGAUAUUUUUUUGACUGUUCUUUUUCAUGUUUUUUACAAGUAAACCAAUGCUAAUUUGUUGCAGAA